rnacentral:misc_RNA from 1 species
CUUGGUCAUUUAGUGGAAGGUGAAGUCGUAACAAGGUUUCCGUAGGUGAACCUGCGGAAGGAUCAUUACCACACCUAAAAAACUUUCCACGUGAACUGUCAAACCUGUUCUGUGCUUGUGCUGGGUCUGCGUUUUCGGACGCGGACGCGGUGGAGGCUGAACGAAGGCUGGUUUCAUUUGUAUGAGAUCAGCUGAUAUAUUUUUUCAAACCCCUUUUUUACAAAAUGACUGAUCAAUACUGUGAGAACGAAAGUUCUUGCUUUAAACUAGAUAACAACUUUCAGCAGUGGAUGUCUAGGCUC